UGCGUAGGCGGGCUAAUAAGACAGUGGUGAAAUCUCUCGGCUCAACCGGGAAACUGCCAUUGAUACUGUUAGUCUUGAGUUCGGUUGAGGUAGGCGGAAUGUGUAAUGUAGCGGUGAAAUGCUUAGAUAUUACACAGAACACCAAUUGCGUAGGCAGCUUACUAGACCGACACUGACGCUGAGGCACGAAAGCGUGGGGAGCGAACAGGAUUAGAUACCCUGGUAGUCC
rnacentral:rRNA from 1 species